AACUGCUGCCAUCAUUUCCCGAUUGCCUAGCGUUUUCAUCUCUUUGUCCACAGGCCUGCUUUAAGUCUGAUCAGUUCUGCGAGGAAGAAAAUAGGGAUCGAGGAGACUGUCUCAAGAUCUCUGGAGGUUGGUGAGAAUCGUGGGCAGUAGAGGACCCAGACCUGCUUAAAGUCUGGUCAGCUCUGUUAGAAAGAGAACAGUCAUCGAGGAGUCUGUCUCGGAUCUCUGGAGAUCUGCUUAAAGUCCGGUCAGCUCUGCAAGAAAGAGAAAAGCAUUGAAGAGAGCGUCUCAAGAUCUCUGGAGGUUGACCUGCUUAAAGUCUUGUCAGCUCUGUUAGAAAGA